rnacentral:rRNA from 1 species
UACGUAGGGUGCAAGCGUUAAUCGGAAUUACUGGGCGUAAAGCGUGCGCAGGCGGUUUUGUAAGUCUGUCGUGAAAGCCCCGGGCUCAACCUGGGAAUUGCGAUGGAGACUGCAAGGCUUGAAUCUGGCAGAGGGGGGGUAGAAUUCCACGUGUAGCAGUGAAAUGCGUAGAGAUGUGGAGGAAUACCGAUGGCGAAGGCAGCCCCCUGGGAUAACACUGACGCUCAUGCACGAAAGCGUGGGGGAGCAAACAGG